CUCUCUUCUGAGAAUGUGCUAAAUACCUCUCCUUCUGCAAGCCACUAUUAAGAGAGGUCAAAAGAACACCCCUGUGCUCAGGAUUGUCCUUCUGCUAGCCACAAAGCAGAAGUUAGGAAGUCCCAACUGUUCGUGUGUUCCUCAAAGGGCACCCCACCCCUCACUGUUUCCAAAACAAGCAGUCUCGUCAACACUUUCUGCCUUGGAACCCUCAGGAUUGGGCUAAUUUCAUUUUUCCCUGUUCCCUGCUCCUUGAAAUCACAAUAACUGCAAGACUCCCAAGUCGUCUUUCAUUCCCUAGACUUUAAUCCCCACAUGGCUGUAUGUAUUGCCUUUUUAGACUCCGAAUUCUACCCCUCUCCAACUUUAACAUGCCUCCCCCCAACCACGUGCCCUAUGGAAAUGAAGCUUCAGUCAUCACCAUACUGUCAUAUUUGCAAACUUUCAAUUUUUCCUCGACCAUUUUGUUCCAAUGGAAACCUGGAUUUUUCCUGCCGACAAUACUUCCCUGUUAGCCCUUUGAUGUGAACAUUAUUUCUGUACAACGCUCAUGCCCAUAAGGAUGGCAGCUGAAGGAUGGGGGACUUUCUUGCUUCUCACUGCCCUUUCCAGAACAUCUCAUUUCCUGUUCACUAAAAAUAUUCAACUUUGACUCUUACAUCACCAGGUCAUAGCCCCAACUGACACUUUGUGUUAGAAUUAUAUAGUAACCUUCUUCCUAAUCACUUUCAUUCCUUGAAAAUUUUAGCUCCUAGCUUGCCGUUUUUCAUUCUAACACUCUAUCUGUCUUAAUUCUUGGUGAUUUUAAUAUCCCAGAUAAUUAUUCUACUUCUCUGGCUUCUCAGUUUCUUACCCUCCUCUGUCCUCUAACUCAUCUCGGCUCUUCACGCCUCUGGUCAGGCCUUUGGCCUUUCCUUUACUAGUAAUUAAAACCCCCUGAUAAUCUCAAUUGCAAAUAUCCUACUCUUGAACUUCAACUCCAUCCUUCUAGUUCACCCUUUUCUGUACCCUAACUCCAACAAGCCUUUAAUCUCAUCAAGACCAACAAUUCAUUAAUCUCACUGUCCUUUGCCAUCUAUUUAUCUAGCUUAAAUUCCAUGAUGAGUUAUCAUAACCACUUCUUCCUAUGUUCUUGCCUCUUUUACUUCCCCCUCUUUACAUUUAUCAUACUCACUUGGUAAAACCUGAAGUUCUAUUUUAAAUUGAACUCUCCACCUCCUCUAUGCCUGCACCCAUACAGUUAAACACAGCUGGAGAAAAAUACAAAGCCAUGUUGGCAUAUUUCUUUUAAAAUUCAUGAGCACUAACUCAAGUAAGCUCCUAAUACUGCCUGGAGAUCACUGGUUUAUUUAUUCUUCUGCUCUUUCAGGCAAUUAUUUCACACCAACUUCUUUUGGCUCAAACUUUCUAUCUCUUCCCCUCUUCACUGUUAAGGGAUGCCCUUGUUUCUACUCUACUUCCUCUCUUUCUCUUGAUAACUUAUCAUGACACCCUGCUGGGCUAACCUUUCUACUGUGCGCUAGGAUUUGUCAGCCAUUCCAUACUUGAGAGCAUUGCACCAGGGAUUAUAUUCUUAGCCAUCAGUUUCUUCUCUUCUUUAUGAGUCUACAACUUGCUUUCUCUAAAUAUUAACCUAUUAUUUUCUUUCUUCUUUUUUUCUUUUUUUGGACACAGAGUCUCACUCUUGUCACCCAGGCUAAUCUCAGCUCACCGCAGCCUCCACCUCCCAGGUUCAAGUGAUUCUCCUGCCUCAGCCUCCCGAGUAGCUGGGGUUACAGGUAAUGGAGUUCACAUUACCAUAGACUUUUCUUGAUGUCCAAUCUAAAUAAGAAAGCUUUAUUCUAAGGUACGUGAGAGCAGGGACUACGUCUGUUGUGUUUGCAAGUACCUCUCCAAUGCCUAACAUAGCGUCUAGCACAUGGGUGCCAUUUAAAGAAAUGUACUGAAUGAAUGAAUGAAUAAGAGAGGGAAUGAAGGAAACAAGUGAAUGAAACAUAAAAGCAGUCUAGAAAAUUCAUGUAGUCCUUCUCUGAGGUUUGGCCAUGGGAGAGGAGGCAGUCCUAAAGAAACUGACUGGUGGUGAAGACUAAUGGUGUCAGCGCAAUCCAAUAAUGGGGACACCCAUGGAGCUUCCACAGUCAGAAUGGUGGGUGGAGUGGAGUGGGACAAAAGUGGAACACAUCAGGUAGUUUUGUUUUAAACUGCUGAAAAAUCAAAUCUUGGAUGCACGCCCAAAGUUCGAAUACUUUUACCUAUGCUCCAACCACUUAGUGGUAGAAUAAGAUACUUACAUGGAUGGCAGUUCCAAACAAAUCAAGACCAUAUACAUUCAAGAGGGAUGGAAGAAUAGAUCUGAGGUCUCAAAUGGCUCUACUUGAAAAUUCAAGUUUUAUGUAAAUGGUAAGUUUUAGAAAUGUACUU
rnacentral:lncRNA from 10 species